UAUUAAUUAAGUUUUAAUGAAUCUGCAUUUCCAGCAAGCUGCAUUUCUUUGGCUUUGGUACAAAUUGAACAAAUUAUUUAAAAGUGUUCUUGAAUCUACUUUUCACACCAAAGAGGAGAGAGAAUGCAAUCAUUUGUAGAAAAUCAUAUUUAUUUUCCCCCUCUCCCCAGCCUGUGCCCAUCUGUUAAUUAUUUUUAAAUGUAAUCAUUUACCCUUUUGUUUCACUGGCUUCCCAAGACAAUCGGAAGGUAAAGGACUGGCGCAGAAUCUUUAGGCUGUGUAAAAGUCUGAAAUAUGUGAUCACGAGGCAGAUGAAAGAUUGUGUUUUUACUUGUUGUCAUGUGGGAUGUGGCGUGCUCACUCCUCAUCUGUUACUGCUAAUGUGUUGUCUUUAUGCUUCCUGCCGGUACACACAUUGAUACACAUUGGGCCUUCAACAUCCGGAAGGACGUCGUUGUAAGGAAGGACGUCAAGCCGUGGGCUUUUUCCAUGCUGGAUUUUUAAAAGGCGGCCUGUGUACCUGUUUGCCGAGAUGAGCGUUGGACGGCUGGCAGGAUCUACGGAUCGGAUAGCCAAGUGAUACAACCCCUCAAAGCGGUUCAACACUACAUCUCAUCAUUCAUCCAUUCAACACUGCUGACAGGAGCGAGCAAGCAAGGUGCCAUCCGUCCAUCAAGACUGACUAACAUCAUACAACAUUCACACACUGCAGGAACAGCCGACCGGAGCAAUAUGGGGCGAAGGGUCUUGACAAACCCCAACAAAUCAACAGCUGCCAAUAAACUGCCAAUAGUGACGUUGAACAACAGCUACGUUUGUUGUUUACUUUCUUAAUGACGAUUUUGUGAGUGUCUUCAAUGGGAGGACUGAAGGGACGAGUUGUCAGUGUACUACACUUGGCAACAUUCUGGAACUACUACCAUUUUAUUUACCUAGCGUACUCUUACUACUUUCUCAACAUUACUAACCCAACCUUUAAGUAAUGACACUUUAUUUAUCUAAACAAACCACAACCUGGCCAGGUACUUUUGCCCCAGUUUGCAUUUUGCUUUUCUCUGGAGUGGUGUCAGAUAACA
ensembl:lncRNA